rnacentral:rRNA from 1 species
GACGAACGCUGGCGGCGUGCCUAAUACAUGCAAGUCGAGCGCAGGAAACUGACGGAACUCUUCGGAGGGAAGGCAGUGGAAUGAGCGGCGGACGGGUGAGUAACACGUAAGGAACCUGCCUCAAGGAUAGGGAUAACUCCGAGAAAUCGGAGCUAAUACCGGAUAGUUCAUCGGACCGCAUGGUCCGCUGAUGAAAGGCGCUCCGGCGUCACCUUGAGAUGGCCUUGCGGUGCAUUAGCUAGUUGGUGGGGUAACGGCCCACCAAGGCGACGAUGCCUAGCCGGCCGGAGAGGGUGAUCGGCCACACUGGGACUGAGAAACGGCCCAGACUCCUACGGGAGGCAGCAGUAGGGAAUCUUCCACAAUGGACGAAAGUCUGAUGGAGCAACGCCGCGUGAGUGAUGAAGGUUCUCGGAUCGUAAAACUCUGUUGUAAGGGAAGAACACGUACGAGAGGGAAUGCUCGUACCUUGACGGUACCUUACGAGAAAGCCACGGCUAACUACGUGCCAGCCGCCGCCGUAA